UACGGAGGGUGCGAGCGUUGUCCGGAAUCACUGGGCGUAAAGGGCGCGUAGGUGGCGCGGCAAGUCAACGGUGAAAGCUCGACGCUCAACGUCGAGUCGGCCGUCGAUACUGCUGGGCUUGAGCACUGUAGAGGCAGAUGGAAUUCCGGGUGUAGCGGUGGAAUGCGUAGAGAUCCGGAAGAACACCGGUGGCGAAGGCGGUCUGCUGGGCAGUAGCUGACACUGAGGCGCGAAGGCUAGGGUAGCAAACAGG
rnacentral:rRNA from 1 species